UGGUGUAGAAGGGGAAUGGAGGCCUACAGCCAACUUGCCAGGCUAUGCCCCCACUCCAAGAAAAAUCAAAUGCGAGUUUUGUGCCGCUCCUCUAAACGAUUUUCGGCACAAGGCGAUACAUAUCCGGAGAGCAUGCCCCGAAUUCGAGCAUAAUAAUGUCCUGCACGUGUCCAACUACAACGCAUUUGCCAGGUACCUGCGUGCGUUCUGUGGGACAAAUCUGUGCGAUCUGCCUGUCCCGGGCGAGGUGCCCGCGGACCUUGACCUCCCAGCAGCCCUACAGUCCACCCUGGACAACCAGGUCAAGUGGGGUCGGCUGGUCACGGCGGCGGCUGGCCCCCUUGGCCAGGAGGAUUUAGAGCUGGCCGCGGUGGAGGCCAGAGUAGAGAGAUACAGCCAGACAAUCAUCCAGGGCCUGCGCAAUGCCGUAAUUAAUGCGCGGGACG